rnacentral:lncRNA from 1 species
GGUCCAGAAUUCUUGAGGAAGGGGAAUUUCAUUAGACAUACUAAGCCAAAAGAAGAUGUCACACUGAAGAAGGUGGCUGUGUGAAUUCUGACCCAGUCGAAAACAUGCAAGCAAAGUCCGACUGUAUUACAUGCUUCACCCCAGGGAUGGAGGGUGUCCUGCCAAGAGGCUCCGGUCAGAAAAUGGAAGUGAUGCCGACAUGGUGGAUAAGAACAAGUGCUGCACACUCUGCAACAUGUCAUUCACUUCAGCGGUGGUGGCCGAUUCCCAUUAUCAAGGCAAAAUCCACGCCAAGAGGUUAAAACUCUUGCUAGGAGAGAAGACCCCAUUAAAGACCACAGGUACGUGCAGGAACAGUGAUCGUGGGGAGACCCUGAAAACCAAGUGCUGGCCUGUCUUGCAGAUCAUGCUCCUCCUUCAGACGCAGUUGCCAGAACCAGAGCCUAAUGGUAGACGUCAUUCAAAGCCUAAAGGGAUGAGUGGCUGACCUCAGCAGACCUGGCUGUCCUAAGACCCCUAAAUACCAUUUCAGGUGCUCAUUCUAUCACCCUAGUUCCUUUCGAUGAAGUAAUGCAGCAGCUUGCAUCUGC